rnacentral:rRNA from 1 species
GAUUAACGCUAGCGGCAGGCAUAAUACAUGCAAGUUGAACGGCAGCACAGGUAGCAAUACUGGGUGGCGAGUGGCGCACGGGUGCGUAACACGUAUGCAACCUACCCUGUACAGGCGAAUAACCUUUAGAAAUGAGGGCUAAUACGCCGUAGUAUUACAGAUGGGCAUCUAUUUGUAAUUAAAGAUUUAUCGGUAUAGGAUGGGCAUGCGUCCCAUUAGUUAGUUGGUAAGGUAACGGCUUACCAAGACGAUGAUGGGUAGGGGAUCUGAGAGGACUUACCCCCACACUGGUACUGAGACACGGACCAGACUCCUACGGGAGGCAGCAGUAAGGAAUAUUGGGCAAUGGCCGCGAGGCUGACCCAGCCAUGCCGCGUGCAGGAAGACGGCCUUAUGGGUUGUAAACUGCUUUUAUACGGGAAUAAUAGAGUGUACGCGUACAUUUAUGCAAGUAUCGUAUGAAUAAGCAUCGGCUAACUCCGUG